rnacentral:rRNA from 1 species
UACGUAGGGUGCAAGCGUUAAUCGGAAUUACUGGGCGUAAAGCGGGCGCAGGCGGUUUCGUAAGUCUGUCGUGAAAUCCCCGGGCUUAACCUGGGAAUGGCGAUGGAGACUGCGAGGCUAGAGUUUGGCAGAGGGGGGUAGAAUUCCACGUGUAGCAGUGAAAUGCGUAGAGAUGUGGAGGAACACCGAUGGCGAAGGCAGCCCCCUGGGUCAAAACUGACGCUCAUGCACGAAAGCGUGGGGAGCAAACAGG